UACGUAGGGUGCAAGCGUUGUCCGGAAUUAUUGGGCGUAAAGAGCUCGUAGGCGGUUCGGCAAGUCGGAUGUGAAAUCUCCACGCUUAACGUGGAGGGGCCAUUCGAAACUGCCGUGACUCGAGUCCGGUAGGGGAGUGCGGAAUUCCCGGUGUAGCGGUGAAAUGCGCAGAUAUCGGGAGGAACACCAGUGGCGAAGGCGGCACUCUGGGCCGGAACUGACGCUGAGGAGCGAAAGCGUGGGGAGCGAACAGG
rnacentral:rRNA from 1 species